CAUGUGUUAGGUGCUUAUUCCAAUUGGAUAUGGUACGGAGGAAAUAGAAGCUGUUGUGUUAGUUGAUGUACUACGGCGAGCUGGUGCUGAGGUCACUCUUGCUUCUGUGGAGCAGAAGCUAGAGGUUGAAGCAUCCUCAGGGACCAAAUUGCUUGCAGAUGUCUUAAUCUCUAAAUGUGCUGAUCAAGUUUAUGAUCUUGUGGCUUUACCGGGAGGCAUGCCUGGUGCUGUUAGGUUAAGAGACUGGAAUUCUUGAGAAGAUCAUGAAGAGACAAGCUGAAGAUAAGCGUCUCUGUUACUUAAUUUUUAUAGGUACUGGUGGAAACCCGCUUCUUGGAGAACAAGCUGCAGAAGAAUCAAAAGAUGCAAUUGCCAAUGCUCUUAAAAGAUCAGACCUUGUUUUCAUAUGUGCUAGAGUAUGGAGAGCAAACUCUAAAGUUGAAUUCAUAGCUGAUGCAGUCGGAACCACUGUGGCUUGGCCUAAUGACAAGAUUAUAUUCAUUUGAGGCUGACACAUUUGAGUUUAUGUAGUACUAUGAACUUGUAUCUUUAGAAUGUUUGUGGCUUUGUAACAUUCAAUCUUAUUGGAUAUUUUAAAUUUCUAUUAA